rnacentral:rRNA from 1 species
GACGAACGCUGGCGGCGUGCUUAACACAUGCAAGUCGAACGAGAGGACAAGAGAAGCUUGCUUCUUUUGGAAUCGAGUGGCAAACGGGUGAGUAACACGUAAACAACCUGCCUUCAGGAUGGGGACAACAGACGGAAACGACUGCUAAUACCGAAUACGCUUGGGAGACCGCAUGAUCUUCCAAGGAAAGGGUGGCCUCUACUUGUAAGCUAUCGCCUGAAGAGGGGGUUUGCGUCUGAUUAGGCAGUUGGUGAGGUAACGGCCCACCAAACCUACGAUCAGUAGCCGGUCUGAGAGGAUGAACGGCCACACUGGAACUGAGACACGGUCCAGACUCCUACGGGAGGCAGCAGUGGGGAAUUUUGCACAAUGGGGGAAACCCUGAUGCAGCGACGCCGCGUGAGCGAAGAGUAUUUCGGUAUGUAAAGCUCUAUCAGCAGGGAGAAAAUGACGGUACCUGACUAAGAAGCCCCGGCUAACUACGUGCCAGCAGCCGC